CUAUCUUCACAGGCCUUUUGGCUUAGAUCAAGUGUAGUAUCUGUUCUUUUCAGUUUAAUCUCUGAAACGUGGCUACGGCCACUUCAAUGAUUAUACUUAUUUUUGGCCCUCGAUGGGCGGCCGCUGGGCUUGCCUAUGUCGCCUGUCACCGUGUCGCUAGUAUCGCACUAACUCUAGCUGACGCGACCCUCC
rnacentral:snRNA from 1 species